rnacentral:rRNA from 1 species
UACAGAGGUCUCAAGCGUUGUUCGGAUUCAUUGGGCGUAAAGGGUGCGUAGGCGGCGCGGUAAGUCGGGUGUGAAAUCUUGGAGCUUAACUCCGAAACUGCAUUCGAUACUGCCGUGCUUGAGGACUGGAGAGGAGACUGGAAUUUACGGUGUAGCGGUGAAAUGCGUAGAUAUCGUAAGGAAGACCAGUGGCGAAGGCGGGUCUCUGGACAGUUCCUGACGCUUAGGCACGAAGGCCAGGGGAGCAAACGGG